GUCCAACCUCCCCACAUCCCUCCAUGAUACCUCUCUAACAGUCUUCCGCCUCGCCAUCUCCAGCUCUGAUCCGUGGCCCUUCUCUUUCUAACCUCCUUUUCUUGCUUAAUAUUUCCCCAAAUACAAUAAGUUAGCUUGCUAGUUUUCUUGUCAUGGGUCACAACAGUCAUCACCAUCUUCUGAGCUUCAAUCUCCUGCACAACGGUAAGAAAGAAGUCUCUAUACGAGCAUCGACCGUCCCACCGAAAGGUUGUGUUGCAGUGAAGGUCGGCG
rnacentral:misc_RNA from 1 species